rnacentral:lncRNA from 1 species
GUCCCCAGAUCCUUGUUGCUGGGCUUGGGAGUUCUUUUUGGUCCAAUCUCACCCUAUGAAGCCACUCAUUAGACUUGGUCACUUUCAAAACAGGGUGUGCCUUACCUUCAAGAUGCCCCACGACUUUCAGGACUUUGGUACUGCCGUAUGAGCCAGGCUGGAGUUUUCUUUUCACACCCUGAAGAGAAGGACUCUUCCCCUUCCCCCAUCUGCAGGACCCCCAGCCAAGACAGGAUACAGAAGAACUUGUUUUGAUGAGAUGAAGACGCGUGGCAGAUGCCCCCUGGUGGACUCAUUUGAAGAAGUUACACUGAAAGAAUGGAGCCAUGUUGGGAAGAAACAGAGGCUAAACCCUCCCCCACUGCGUGCCAUCCAUCCCCACUUCUACAGAAAGGAAGCUGUAGAAGGAACCACGCGGGAUGAAGGAUAUAAAAAGCAACUUGAACUCUACUUCACUCGUCAGACUCUCCAGAUGCAAUUCGUGGUCUUACUAUCCUCAGUGCGUGCUGAUAUUUCCUGUUCUUGCCUAGGCCGUGAAACCAAGAAAGGCGAUGUCUACAGUUUGAAAUACAUACAUGGGGCCUAGAAAAAUCUAAGUAAGAAAAUAAGUCUGUUGUUUGUGUACAGAGGCAACAAGAAACCCCAGGGGCAGAGCUGUUUAAAAUAUAAUCCCUUCAGAGUACUCGUGAAUAAAUAUCCUGACGAUGUAGGGGGAAAUCAGAUGCAAACACAGAGCCAAGCAAAGUGGCACCAACUAUAAUUCCGGUGCCAAUCAAGAUGCUGAGGCAGGGGAUUGCCACAAGUUUGAGGCCAGUCUGGGCUAUAAAAAUAAGUUCUAGACCAGUAUGAAUUUUGUCUCAAAACAAAACCAAACCAGUAAGCAGCUGGAGAAUUUCUGUAUAGUCCCACACGCACCUUCAAAAUACAAGCUGGCUAUAGUGGCCCAUGCCUUAAUCCCAGCCCUAGGGAGACGGAGGAGGCAGAUCUCCAUAGUGAAAGGCCAGCCUGGUGUACACAAAGGCUACAUAGUGAGUCCCUGUUACAGUUAAUCAAUCAAUCAUAGAAAAUUCACUGAAGCAUUUACGUUUGUAUGUGUAUGGGUAUGUUUCCUGUGUGCAUGUUUGUGUAUGUGCCAGUGCACAUGUAUACACAGGCAUGUAUGGAGGUCAGAGGUCAGCCUAAGCUGUUGGCUAUCAGGUGUUCUUGACCUUAGUUUUCAAGACAAGUCUCUCAUUGUCCUGGAACUUGAGAAAUGUGAGAGGCACAGAAGUCCUUGUGUUCACAGAUGAGUACUGAGGGACCCAGGAAUGUUAAACACACAAGGUUGUUCCUUCAGGUUGUCCCUGUCCCAACACAGGGUUGGGAUAUAUAACCUGUGUUCUGCCUAGGAUGCUGGGAGUAGAUGUGGUAAAUAGCCUGCUGACCUUUGCACUAUCCAUGUGGCUGAGACCACACUGGGUCUUCCCCCGAGACCCUCACUGUGGGCUUGUCAAUCUAUAGAACAUGGGAGAUAUCACGUGUAUUUUACAAAGAGUUUUGAUGUAAUUAUAUCUUAAGCUUUAUUGUGCACGCAGGAUUGAGUUAAUUAUCACUAGAAGAAUUUUUCACCAAAUUGUGCUGUGCUGAAAUACAUCUAAAAUAAACUACUCAUGGUCAGACUCUUGAAGUUUGAACCAACACCA